UACGAAGGGGGCUAGCGUUGUUCGGAAUUACUGGGCGUAAAGCGUGCGCAGGCGGUUUUGUAAGCCAGAUGUGAAAUCCCCCGGGCUUAACCUGGGAAUGGCAUUUGGGACUGCAAGGCUGGAGUUUGGCAGAGGAGACUGGAAUUCCUGGUGUAGCAGUGAAAUGCGUAGAUAUCAGGAGGAAUACCGAUGGCGAAGGCAGGU
rnacentral:rRNA from 1 species